GACGAACGCUGGCGGCGUGCUUAACACAUGCAAGUCGAACGGAGAAUUUAUUUCGGUAAAUUCUUAGUGGCGAACGGGUGAGUAACGCGUGGGCAACCUGCCCUUCAGAUGGGGACAACAUCCCGAAAGGGGUGCUAAUACCGAAUACGAUCACGCUGCCGCAUGGCGGCGUGAUGAAAGAUGGCCUCUAUUUAUAAGCUAUCGCUGAAGGAUGGGCCUGCGUCUGAUUAGCUAGUUGGUGGGGUAACGGCCUACCAAGGCGAUGAUCAGUAGCCGGUCUGAGAGGAUGAACGGCCACAAUUGGGACUGAGACACGGCCCAAACUCCUACGGGAGGCAGCAGUGGGGAAUAUUCCGCAAUGGACGAAAGUCUGACGGAGCAACGCCGCGUGAGUGAUGAAGGUUUUCGGACUGUAAAGCUCUGUUGUUUAGGACGAAAAUGACCUGUUGCAAAUAGUUGCAGGUAUUGACGGUACUGAACGAGGAAGCACGGUAACUACG
rnacentral:rRNA from 1 species